UGGGGAAUAUUGCACAAUGGGGGGAACCCUGAUGCAGCGACGCCGCGUGGAGGAAGAAGGUUUUCGGAUUGUAAACUCCUGUCGUUAGGGACGAUAAUGACGGUACCUAACAAGAAAGCACCGGCUAACUACGUGCCAGCAGCCGCGGUAAAACGUAGGGUGCAAGCGUUGUCCGGAAUUACUGGGUGUAAAGGGAGCGCAGGCGGGUGAUCAAGUCAGCUGUGAAAACUACGGGCUUAACCCGUAGACUGCAGUUGAAACUGUUCAUCUUGAGUGAAGUAGAGGUUGGCGGAAUUCCGAGUGUAGCGGUGAAAUGCGUAGAUAUUCGGAGGAACACCGGUGGCGAAGGCGGCCAACUGGGCUUUAACUGACGCUGAGGCUCGAAAGUGUGGGGAGCAAACAGGAUUAGAUACCCUGGUAGUCCACACUGUAAACGAUGAUUGCUAGGUGUGGGGGGUCUGACCCCUUCCGUGCCGGAGCUAACGCAAUAAGCAAUCCACCUGGGGAGUACGACCGCAAGGUUGAAACUCAAAGGAAUUGACGGGGACCCGCACAAGCAGUGGAUUAUGUGGUUUAAUUCGAAGCAACGCGAAGAACCUUACCAGCACUUGACAUCCAACUAACGAAAUAGAGAUAUAUUAGGUGCCCUUCGGGGAAAGUUGAGACAGGUGGUGCAUGGUUGUCGUCAGCUCGUGUCGUGAGAUGUUGGGUUAAGUCCCGCAACGAGCGCAACCCUCGCCAUUAGUUGCUACGCAAGAGCACUCUAAUGGGACCGCUACCGACAAGGUGGAGGAAGGUGGGGACGACGUCAAAUCAUCAUGCCCCUUAUGUGCUGGGCUACACACGUAAUACAAUGGCCAUCAACAGAGAGAAGCAAUACCGCGAGGUGGAGCAAAACUUCAAAAAUGGUCUCAGUUCGGACUGCAGGCUGCAACCCGCCUGCACGAAGUUGGAAUUGCUAGUAAUCGUGGAUCAGCAUGCCACGGUGAAUACGUUCCC
rnacentral:rRNA from 1 species